CAUAGUUAGCUGAAGUGGGGAGGGUAUCGAUCAGUAGUACAGUGUGUGUUUAGCAUUCAUGAGAUCCUGGGUUCAAUCCCCAGGACCUCCACUUAAAAAACAAACAAAUAAAUAAAUAGAGGCAUCCUCUGAAAAAUUUUAAAUGUCAUGGGAAAAUGUUCACAAUUUAACACGUUAAGAAGUUUGAAAACUGUGUGUGUACAUAUAUAUAUGGAUAUAAUUAUAUAUAUUAAAUGGGUGUGUGAUAUAUAUAUACAUACAUAUACAGUAUGCAUGUCUACCAUUAGAAUGUAAGCUUUAUGAAAGCAAGGGCUGUGUCUAUCUCAUUUCCCAUUUUUACUCUCAGUGUGUAGCACAGGGCUUGG